AGAAUGUAAUCCAAGAAAAAAUAUCUUCAAAUAAAGCCAAAAUAGAACAACAGAAAUCGGUUACAACCAGUAAAAAGUAUCUGGAAAAUGAUACUGUUAAAGACUGUGAAGACUCUGAUUGUGAUAUUUUCAAAAAGUAUUUUGAAUUUCUCUCUGCUCACUCAAUUGAUGAUAAAGAUGUUGCUAUGCUAACCCCAAAUAAGAAUUCAAGAAUUUUAAGUGAUAAUGAGAAGAAUCCAUUAUUAUCUAAAAAAAAUAAGAAGAAAAAGAAAAAUGUUUUUGAGAAUGUAAUCCGAGAAAAAAUAUCUUCAAAUAAAGCCAAAAUAGAACAACAGAAAUCGG